UACGUAGGGUGCAAGCGUUGUCCGGAAUUAUUGGGCGUAAAGAGCUCGUAGGCGGUCUGUCGCGUCGGCUGUGAAAACCUGGGGCUUAACUCCGGGCUUGCAGCCGAUACGGGCAGACUAGAGUUCGGUAGGGGAGACUGGAAUUCCUGGUGUAGCGGUGAAAUGCGCAGAUAUCAGGAGGAACACCGGUGGCGAAGGCGGUUCUCUGGGCCUGUACUGACGCUGAGGAGCGAAAGCGUGGGGAGCGAACAGG
rnacentral:rRNA from 1 species